UACGUAGGGACCAAGCGUUGUUCGGAUUUACUGGGCGUAAAGGGCGCGUAGGCGGCGUGGUAAGUCAGCUGUGAAAUCUCCGAGCUUAACUCGGAACGGUCAGCUGAUACUGCUGUGCUAGAGUACAGAAAGGGCAAUCGGAAUUCUUGGUGGUAGCGGUGAAAUGCGCAGAUAUCAGGAGGAACACCGAUGGCGAAGGCAGGUCUCUGGGCCACUACUGACGCUGAGAAGCGAAAGCAUGGGGAGCGAACAGG
rnacentral:rRNA from 1 species